rnacentral:lncRNA from 1 species
UUCUUCCCUGUACCGCGAAGGGUUAAUCUCAGUGAGCGUUGCACUCCUAGACGGGCUCUCCAGGAAAAAAAAAGGACACCAUGCAUUUCUGUCUGGAGGCACUUCCGACCAGCUGGGCAUCUUUCUUUGUCUUUGCCACCCCUCCCCCCUUCCCCUUUUUUCCUCUUUUUUUCUAUUUUUUAAAAAUCCUGACCAAGAAGGUUUUGCAGCAUUUGGAGGAGUGGAUGAUGGGAAGCACCUCCUGAGCAACAGUAUAUGUUUGAUCUUAUUCUUAAGUAUCUGCUUCUUUGGAGGCUGUAAUCAUGGACUGCAGUGGCUCAAAGCAGGAGUCGUUAAUUUUGUGGGACAUGCAGGAGGACCGCUGUAUCUGCGGGAUCAGUAUACGCUGAUUCACUUAUCCGCGGUCUGAAAAUAUUUUAAUUGUUACAAGACAAUUAAAUAUUUUUAUUGUUACAAGACAAAGCCUAGAAACAUAUUUUGUUAAAGGUGAAGUAACCAGAACUGACCACUCUCGGGAUCCAGAGACCAUGCUUUGUAUACCAUUUAAGUGGUCACUAUCAUCCAUAUUUUUUCAGUAUCCACGGGAAAGUGGGCUUGGAACUGGUCCCCUGCAGAUAGGUACAGGGGCCCUACUAUAUAUGUAGCACGCUGUUCUUAGCCUGAGAGAACAUUGCAAAGAGAGGAAAACAAGGUAUUUUGGGCCCAGAUUUCAGUUCGGAGAAAGUUGUAGGAAAGAAAACAGAAGAUUGAAAUCUAGCUGGCUGCGAAGCAGUAGAAACAUUGGGAGAAAGUAUUCCAGCCUGCAGGGCAUUCAAGGGGAGAACUAUACCAAAGAUUAUGAACAAGGACAUUAUAGAUUCAUACCCCCGAAUGCUAGCACUUCAGGCGAUUCUGCUAGACAGAGGCUGAAGGGCCCCACAAGGUUUACAGCCGACUCUGGGAUGGUUGCUGUCAGUGGCUGAAGCUGGAGAAGCACACGAAGGAUUGUGAUCCUGGUGAGCUGGUGAUCCUGGAACAGUUUCUAACC